CAGCCGCCGCGGUAAUACGUAGGGCGCGAGCGUUAAUCGGAAUUACUGGGCGUAAAGCGUGCGCAGGCGGUUUCGUAAGACAGGCGUGAAAUCCCCGGGCUCAACCUGGGAAUGGCGCUUGUGACUGCAAAGCUAGAGUGCGGCAGAGGGGGAUGGAAUUCCGCGUGUAGCAGUGAAAUGCGUAGAUAUUGGGAGGAACACCGGCGGCGAAGGCGGCUUACUGGACGACAACUGACGUUGAGGCUCGAAGGCGUGGGUAGCAAACAGGAUUAGAUACCCCAGUAGUCCCUGUCUCUUAUAC
rnacentral:rRNA from 1 species